rnacentral:rRNA from 1 species
CCUACGGGAGGCAGCAGUGAGGAAUAUUGGUCAAUGGACGCGAGCCUGAACCAGCCAAGUAGCGUGAAGGAUGACUGCCCUACGGGUUGUAAACUUCUUUUAUACAAGAAUAAAGUGAGACACGUGUGCCUUUUUGUAUGUACUUUAUGAAUAAGGAUCGGCUAACUCCGUGCCAGCAGCCGCGGUAAUACGGAGGAUUCGAGCGUUAUCCGGAUUUAUUGGGUUUAAAGGGAGCGUAGAUGGGUUGUUAAGUCAGUUGUGAAAGUUUGCGGCUCAACCGUAAAAUUGCAAUUGAUACUGGCAGCCUUGAGGACAGUUGAGGUAGGCGGAAUUCGUGGUGUAGCGGUGAAAUGCUUAGAGAUCACGAAGAACUCCGAUUGCGAAGGCAGCUUACUAAACUGCCACUGACAUUGAUGCUCGAAAGUGUGGGUAUCAAACAGGAUUAGAUACCCUGGUAGUC